rnacentral:lncRNA from 1 species
UGGUGAUCAAUGGUUGAGCUGAGACCAGAUGGGGUCUAAUGAUUAUAGGUCACAGAUGGUGACAGGUUGCAGAUGGCGACCUUGAUGUUGAUUUCCUGACUAGACGGAGUCUGAAAUCAUAUGUCUCAGAUGGUGACAGAUCACAGAUGGUGAUAGAUCACAGAUGGUGAUCAAGGCAGGAAAUAGGUAAUCACGUUCUGGUUAGGACGAGUGAUUACAAUUUCAAUAGGGUUCUAGUUUAUCUGCCAUGAUAGCUUAUGGGAGUAACAGUCGAGGUUGCUUGAGACUCAUAGGUUCGCGGCUUAAAGGAGAGUUCAGAUGGCAUUCUUCUUUAAUUGUCUAGAUGAGACUUGAAUUGCUACUUGAUGGUUAAGUUAGCAAAUAAGGCAUGGUCAUAGUGAUUGAUGUGAGUUGUUGA